rnacentral:rRNA from 1 species
UCAUUUACUUGGAGCCCGAACUCUCACUUUCUAACCCUGUGCAUCUGUUAUUGGUUAGUAGCUCUUCGGAGUGAACUCCAUUCACUUACAAACACAAAGUCUAUGAAUGUAUACAAAAUUAUAACAAAACAAAACUUUCAACAACGGAUCUCUUGGCUCUCGCAUCGAUGAAGAACGCAGCGAAAUGCGAUACGUAAUGUGAAUUGCAGAAUUCAGUGAAUCAUCGAAUCUUUGAACGCACCUUGCGCUCCUUGGUAUUCCGAGGAGCAUGCCUGUUUGAGUGUCAUGAAAUCUUCAACCCACCUCUUUCUUAGUGAAUCUGGUGGUGCUUGGUUUCUGAGCGCUGCUCUGCUUCGGCUUAGCUCGUUCGUAAUGCAUUAGCAUCCGCAACCGAACUUCGGAUUGACUUGGCGUAAUAGACUAUUCGCUGAGGAUUCUAGUCUCGUACUAGAGCCGGGUUGGGUUAAAGGAAGCUUCUAAUCCUAAAGUCUAUUUUUUGAUUAGAUCUCAAAUCAGGUAGGACUACCCGCUGAACUUAAGCAUAUCAAUAAGCGGAGGAA